rnacentral:lncRNA from 1 species
CUCUUUUUUCUCUAUUUCUCUCUUUGAAUAGAGCCACAAACUAAAUUCAGGUGUUCGUCAUGUUUUGCCUGGAAAAUUACUGAAUAUUCAAUGCUCUGAGUAUAGUUUCUCAAAGCCACCAAACUGUGUUGGAAAAGAGGCAACCCUCAUCUGAAAAUUAUCUAUGCCAAUAAAAUAUCAAGGCUAGUCUGUAAUAUCCCUAUCACUUCUCCAGUCUCACUACUUUCUGAACUGCAUGCUUUUCAUUUUCUCUUAGUGAUGAAGGGAAAGGAAAGGAAAGGAAAGGAAAGGAAAGGAAAGGAAAGGAAAGGAAAGGAAAGGAAAGGAAAGGAAAGGAAAGGAAAGGAAAGGAAGGGAGGGAGGAAGGAAGGAAGGGAGGAAGGAAGGAAGGAAGGAAGGGGGAGAGAGAAAGAAAGAAAGAAAGAAAGAAAGAAAGAAAGAAAGAAAGAAAGAAAGAAAGAAAGAAAGAAAGAAAGAAAGAAAGAAAGAAAGAAAGAAAGAAAGAAAGAAAGAAAGAAAGAAAGAAAGAAAGAAAGAAAGAAAGAAAGAAAGAAAGAAAGAAAGAAAGAAAGAAAGAAAGAAAGAAAGAAAGAAAGAAAGAGGGACAAUCCCUGCCCUCAAAGAGCUUACAAUCUAAUGGUGAAAACAGCAC